rnacentral:lncRNA from 1 species
UCCUGCUAGUGAUGAAGAUCGCACACGUCCCAUACUACUCAUGUAUGCAACUCUAACAUCCUAACAUUUCAUCACACACCCAUUCAUAUUAUUUAGUCACACAAACAAUUUAUUUAAAUAUACCAAUAUCAACAAAAAGAAAAAUAUGUCUAUGAUUAGUGAAAAUAAUGAAAAUAAAUAUUCAAUAAUAGUACCAAAAAUAGAGAUAAUAAGAGGUGAAGUAAGUGGUAUAGAAAUAGCAAAACAUUACUGCACUUAAAUAGUUUGGUAUUUGAAACCUUUGCUUCCAUUGGUGGUGUGUGAAAGCAACAUAGAUACAACUCAUACAAUCCUUAAUAUGAUCAAUUAACCAUUAGAAGAUACUUAUUAAGUUUUGCUUCUGCAACCACUGUGAUGUCCUGAGAAAUGAAUGUAGAAACUCAACAAUAUUCUGCUUUAACCAAAACCGAAAAUGCUCUAUAAUGUUCAGCAAAGAAAAAACAGAUCAUGAAUCUAGUUAUGCUGAGCACUUAACCAUAAAUUUAAAACUUUAAAAUCCAAUUCUCACAGGAUAGUCUAAACUCCCUGAAGUCCAAAACACAAUCAGAUCGAAACAAAUUAUAAUCGUAAAAACAAUUUUUGAUCCAUAGCAAUAUCACACAUACAUGUUUGGAAUAGCCCAAUAUCGACAAAACUCAGCAAAAUCAACAUAACCAUAAAUCAAUACAACUGAUAAACAGAGUUUUUAGCAAUGGUUUAGCAAAAAAUACCCAACGCCGUGCAAUCAUACUGCUUUAGUGGUGUCGCCGCGAGUUUGUUAACCCUCCAUCAUUCGGGAGUUAUCGAACACAGAACAAUUGUUGUUGCUUUUGGCUCGCGGACGCUGUUGCUUCUACCGGUAGCGUCAUUGUUGUUGGAUGAGCAAGCAGUCGGGUUUGGGUGUUGGUGUUCGUCGGUGUUGAUGCGAACGGAUUGGCUCGCGGACGCUGUUGCUUCUACCGGUAGCGUCAUUGUUGUUGGAUGAGCAAGCAGUCGGGUUUGGGUGUUGGUGUUCGUCGGUGUUGAUGCGAACGGAUCUGGACGAAAAUGCGAAGGAGAAGGGUGUGGUUUCACAGAAGCGGUCUCGCGGUGGAUUUUGGACGGAGCUCGUGAUUUCCGGCGAGAUCGAUGAAGGUUAUUCGCGGUGGAUGUGGAAGAUUGAGGUUUGUGGUUAACGGACGCGUUUGUUUACGGCGGAGAAGACGGAGAAGGUUGUGCGGUGUUUUAUAGUGGAAUUGUUUGGAG